GGGGUGCAGCAGGCGCGAAACCUCCGCAAUGUGAGAAAUCGCGACGGGGGGAUCCCAAGUGCCAUUCUUAACGGGAUGGCUUUUCAUUAGUGUAAAGAGCUUUUGGAAUAAGGGCUGGGCAAGACCGGUGCCAGCCGCCGCGGUAACACCGGCAGCUCUAGUGGUAGCAGUUUUUAUUGGGCCUAAAGCGUCCGUAGCCGGUUUAAUAAGUCUCUGGUGAAAUCCUGUAGCUUAACUGUGGGCAUUGCUGGAGAUACUAUUAGACUUGAGACCGGGAGAGGUUAGAGGUACUCCCAGGGUAGAGGUGAAAUUCUGUAAUCCUGGGAGGACCGCCUGUUGCGAAGGCGUCUAACUGGAACGGUUCUGACGGUGAGGGACGAAAGUUAGGGGCGCGAACCGGAUUAGAUACCCGGGUAGUCCUAACUGUAAACGAUGCGGACUUGGUGUUGGGGUGGCUUUGAGCUGUCUCAGUGCCGAAGGGAAGCUGUUAAGUCCGCCGCCUGGGAAGUACGGUCGCAAGACUGAAACUUAA
rnacentral:rRNA from 1 species